rnacentral:rRNA from 1 species
UACAGAGGGUGCGAGCGUUAAUCGGAAUUACUGGGCGUAAAGCGCGCGUAGGCGGUUUUGUAAGUCGGGUGUGAAAUCCCCAAGCUUAACUUGGGAACUGCAUUCGAGACUGCAUAGCUAGAGUAUGGGAGAGGGAAGUGGAAUUUCAGGUGUAGCGGUGAAAUGCGUAGAUAUCAGGAGGAACACCGGUGGCGAAGGCGGCUACCUGGACAGAAACUGACGCUGGAGGCGCGAAAGCCUAGGGGGAGCAAACAGG